UCCCUUUGAUCUUUUUGCUCAGUAUUUGAUUAAAUGUUUGGAUGUAGGCUGAACUACCUAAUCAGAGGCAGUUCAUAAUAACUCUGUAUUACUGCUAUGUGGUUCAAUUUUCCUCUGUAAUCUUGCAGACCAGGAUCUAAGGACUUGGAGUUGGUUUCAUUCAUAAAUGAGAGGACAUAUAAGUGGUGGCUACAGAGGGAGAGUACUUCAUACUUGUUAGCCAAGACUAAUGUCGACGGAGCAUUUCAGAUACGCAUGCUGUUAAAGAUGCUAAAAAGCACCAUGAGGGAGAUUUUACAGGCUUGGACAAACAAGUAUCAGUGUGAUCUGAACACAGGAGUAGUUUUGCUAAGAUUAUCACUGUCAGCUUUCAUGAAGAAAGAACUAAGGAGAACUGAAGUACAACUCCUACGCUGCUGAAGCAGUCAGUCAUGUAGUGUGGAAAAAAAGAAAAAAGUACCUGCCAGUGGUGGCUACCUCAUUUUUAUAUCUAGCUUCUCCAGUUUUCUCAAGUCUUCAGCACUACAAGAAAUUCUCUUAGAGGAACAGAUGUGCUGGAGAGUUAGCAAUGAAAAACAGAGGGUUUCACUUUAGGUUAUUCAGCUGAGUAUGUUUCAUCUGGAUAGGCAUGAUAAGUCGUCAUCUGAUGAAUAUUUGCCUGCCUUUUUUAAAACAGAUGGGAAAUAUAGUGGUGUUCCUAGGAGAAAAAAUAUUAUUACUUUGGAAAUUUCUGCUGGCCCUUAGCAUGGAAAUAAAGGAAUUACUCUAGAUGAUUUGAGAAAAAUAUGCUACAACAUUGGCUUGCUGAAGCUGGAGGGUCUGAGCCAUAGGAAAACAGAGGAAAACCUGGCUGGAUAAAAGUCAGAUUUCCUUGUUUCUAUUUGUAAACAUUAAUCAGAAGCUUUGCUUGAUGUGUUACACUUGUGAGAGGAGUGGAAAUAUCCCCAUUACUCAACACUUCAUCUCCUCAGUUGGUGCUAGCAGAACUCACAGUGCGGUGAGAUCUAUCCAUGAUCACCAGAGGCUCUUCUAGUGGGGAAGAAGCGGCAAGUUGAUGAUGUGAGUCAAAACUUGCUGGUGGCUGAGGGGCACCUGGGAAACCUUGCUGUGAUUACAAGACUCUCCAGCCUAGUGCAGGCAAGACCUUGGCCCUUGGUGUACUGCCAGGUGACUUGCUCCUGUUCCCUAAGAUGAGAAGAAAGGACUGAAUAUGAGAAAUGAAUAUGCAUUUGGCACGUGACUGGAUCCACUUCUCAGCUGUUAGAAGCCUCGCUUUUUAUACUGUAUAAUACUUAUGACAGCAGAAAGAUCAAACUUACAGAAGAGAUAUUUGUUAGAGCUGGUGAGAAGCAGCCACUUAGCAUUGAGUGAAAGGCUGUACAGAUAAAGAUGCUGCAUUGAAAAAUUCUGAUAAAAACCACACUGAACAGUAGGAAGCAUUUAACAAUCACUGUGCUUAAUGCCCUGUCAUAAUUUACAUAGAGAGCUGUUCAAAAAGGAGAUGGAAUUACAAUGGAGGAACCUGGCAAAAUCCUGAAAGCUGCUCUUCUUUUAGCCUUCAAGCAGGAAUGCAUCUGGAAUGUAUAUUUCCACAUUGUUCUCUAUAAAGCUUUAAUUUUGAAUUCACAUAUGGUACUUAAUUUGCAUUUUUCAUACAGUCAUUAAUGCUUUGGUGAACUCAAAAGGUCUAGAAAAGUAUUCAAAGCCUUGGAUACUUCCCAGAAAUGUGCUUAUGCUGUACUGGCCUGAAAUUCAGCUUGAAAUCUACAGAUCAGAUGCUGACCAGGGAUUUUGAUUCUUUCUUUGUGAGGUAUUUUAAUAAUAGAAGGCUUUUUCUUGGGCUUAUUUUAUAUUUUGGACUAGAUUUCAUGCCUCUGAACCAUUUUGCUAUUGAUAUCUUUUCAGUCACGUUACUAGUAAGGACCAAAUACAAAGUUGAUGGCAAAAGAACAGGAUGCUACAGGGAACUGAAGGUCAAUGUAUCUCGAAAGAAAAGCAGUAGAUUUAGGGAUUGAAACUACCCUGGAAAAAAGCUUCUGUCUUAAUCUAAGUCAGGAAAAGUGAGUUCUGGCCAUGGUAAAGUCAACAAUAGGCUGCUAUCCACAUCAAGGAAAUACAGCAGCAAUCACAAGACUUGUAAGUAAGAAGGUACGAUAGGUGAAAUACCCAAAUAACAGAUUCUGGCUCAUUUUCAGGGAAGUGCACAAGAUCAACAGGAUUUACUUGCUAAGUUUGGGAUUUACUAUUGACCAGACAGUCAUCCAGUAGUGGGGACAGGACAACAACCUUAACUAGCAGCAGAAAAGCACUGGAUAGCAUGGCAUGCUGUCUUUACCAUGUGGUGGAUAGUUAUUUGGUAGGAAGAUGUGACUAGCUGAAGGCAAAUCUUAGAGAAACAGCGUAAUCUUUCUUAGUUCCCCAGCCCAAAAUAAAUCACAAGCUAUCAUGAGAAAACUCAUUCUCCUUUUUUGUCUCCUAUUACAUGAAGCAAUGAAUGCUUUCAAAUAUGAGAGAGGAACAGUGAGAUAGCCGAUGAGAGACCAGUAGGACUUCCUCGCCUCAUACUCCUCACCCAGGGAUAGUGCAGUGUCUGUUCUGUUACUCUUAUCUUUUAUCUGUGCAGCUGUGAUUUUCAGAUCUUCAUCUACUGGAGCUACUCUGCUGAGUGGGAGUAGGUGAUUUGUUAAGUGCUUGUCUUGGAGUAAACUACUUGGUCAUGCGAGUUAGUCUGACAAAAGAACAAAGAAGAAAGUAAUUGGUAAU